rnacentral:rRNA from 1 species
CGGAGGAAAAGAAACCAACUGGGAUUACCUUAGUAACGGCGAGUGAAGCGGUAAAAGCUCAAAUUUGAAAUCUGGUACUUUCAGUGCCCGAGUUGUAAUUUGUAGAAUUUGUCUUUGAUUAGGUCCUUGUCUAUGUUCCUUGGAACAGGACGUCAUAGAGGGUGAGAAUCCCGUUUGGCGAGGAUACCUUUUCUCUGUAAGACUUUUUCGAAGAGUCGAGUUGUUUGGGAAUGCAGCUCAAAGUGGGUGGUAAAUUCCAUCUAAAGCUAAAUAUUGGCGAGAGACCGAUAGCGAACAAGUACAGUGAUGGAAAGAUGAAAAGAACUUUGAAAAGAGAGUGAAAAAGUACGUGAAAUUGUUGAAAGGGAAGGGCAUUUGAUCAGACAUGGUGUUUUUUGCAUGCACUCGCCUCUCGUGGGCUUGGGCCUCUCAAAAAUUUCACUGGGCCAACAUCAAUUCUGGCAGCAGGAUAAAUCAUUAAGAAUGUAGCUACUCUGUAGUGUUAUAGCUUUUUGGAAUACUGUUAGCCGGGAUUGAGGACUGCGCUUCGGCAAGGAUGUUGGCAUAAUGGUUAAAUGCCGCCCGUC